CAAAAGCCAGCCCUAAUCCCUUUCUAUCUCCCCACUCCCGUAACCCUCUCUCCCAACCCGCCGCCUGUUCUUCCUGGCCCCUCUCUCCCGCCGUAUGCUCUUCCGGUAGCCUCUCUCAGCAUCUCUUUUCUCCUCCCUCGUGCAGUGGACGCGACAGAAUCAUUCUUGAUCUUGUCAUCUCUGCUCUGGUCGUCUCUAGAUCUCUGCAUUCUCCAGAUUCCACUUCAGCAAUGGAUGCUAAAGAUUCAGAUUCAGUAAACGAUGACGAGUCAGUGGAGAUUAUACUGGCCUUUCAAGCCACCGUGAUUUCAAGAUGGCCUUUGCUAUGCUGCAUAUGGAGAAUAGCCUUGUCACUUAUAGUACCUUAAUAAACGCAAAAAUUAAACAGAUAGAAUAAAUCGCCAAUUAUUUUAUGAGAGACCAUCACUAUACCAACAAAUAAUAUUACUAUUUGGAAGCA